GUUUCAUCCAAAGAAUUCAAGUGACUUAUCUGUGGAUAAUAUGCAACUCAAGAUAUCGCAAAGUAAGCUUCCAUGUACAACAGCAUUGGUUGAAGUGAAGAAUUCAAAGUUUUAAGUGGCACCGACCGCGAGCAGGCCCCGCCCGUGCGGUGGCUGGCCAGCUUUCCACGUCAAGUGAUGGAAUCCCUUGUCAGGUUCCAAGUCCACGUGCGGUGCACCGGCGACGACCCGCCCCAGCUUCAGGUGUGCAACUUCCGCAGCCGACAGUCAGUCCGGCACAAGAGUUAAGCAACAGCCCUCUGCUAGCUGCCUUCGUUGCAGUUGCAGGCUCACUUCAUUUUCAGUUGCAGUCCUAUUUUCAGUUUCCAACUUCCAGCGGCUGGUAUGAUCGAGCUGGCCGUGACGGUUGCUAAGGAGUAUGAUUGUAAUGUCUGUCAAUAGCUCACCAAUCUAAUCAAGUCUAAUCAGUCUGGUCAGACGCGGAGUACGGUCAA